GAAUUAUUUUUGUUGUAUUUUUUAGGAUAACUGGCAUUCCAUAGUAACGGUAGUGUUGCUUGUUAGCUAGCAUAUUGGUGUUAGCCUAAGUAGCUAACGUUAGCUUGUCUGACUUGUACUUUUUUUUAAGUCCAACAGCUUCUCCAACAGUUUUCUGUGAGUCCGACAGAAAACGCCGUACCAUCGGACCUUUAACAAGGACGUUGUUUUGCUGUUUAGUCCAACAGACGACAUAGUUGUCAAGCAGCGGAAGAAGGAGGAGUUGUACAAAAACGGGCACAUCCUGAAUGCUUUCGAGUUUGACAAAACCUGGGACAAUGGGGCAGUCCUCCUUCAAAUACGGGAUGCUUUUAAGGGGAAAAUUCCCGACGAUGUGAGCUGUGAACUACUGAUGGCUUGUGGCAACAAGUUGAUCGCACCAGGGUUGAGGGAAGGCCAACAACUCGACGCCAGUAUAAUCCAAAAAGUAUUUAGGUAUAAGGCUCUAUAUGUAAGACCCUCCAGACCUCUUGAGCCUGACAAUUUGGAUGAAAGUUCCUCCUCCGAGGAGUGCGUCGAAAUGGUGCCGUCAGUCACCACCGCAGCAAGCCGACAACAUGACCCUGUCGGAGACCAGCCAGACUGCCACUCCAUGUCAGCUACCAGCAGCCUUGCACCUGCGAGCACCGCCCUCUGCAGCCUGGUACCGCCGACAACCGUGGACAGCAGCCUUGAUGCAAACAGCACCCCACCACCGACCAACAACCUGUGGCUAGAAAGUACAGAUUACAGAGCAUACCUUUCUGUGAUCAAUCUUUCAUCAGAUGAGGAAGAAUUUGAGGAUUUGUAUGCUGCCUUAUCGGCCAGCAUGGAAGACCAGAUAAAGGAAAGUUCAUCUGCAAGUGUCCCUAUUCAAGAGAUCUUAUCUGAGCUUGGUGAAAAGAUCAACAAUAACCAACCGGUUCAACAUAAACCGUGCAGCUGUGCUAGAUGGUGCCAUUCGGGGCUUCAAAAGAAUCUCUUAUGACCCGACUCACAGGAUUAGUGUGAGAUUUUCUGAUGACAAAGGAAAAACUGAAGAAGCUGUGGAUCUUGGGGGUCCAAGAAGAGAAUUUCUUCGACUGCUUACAGAAGCUCUUGUCGACUCAACCUCUCCUUGAUUACCUUGCCAAUGCAGGCUGUCUGAAGCCACUGAAAACUGUUGACGACAGGGAUAGACUUGUAGAAGAUGUCUUGAUGUUUCAGGUGAUUAAUCGAGUCCGUGGACCAUUUGAAAGGUUUAGAGAUGGAUUGAAAACGCUUGGAGUCCUGUAGCAGAUCCAGAUGCAUCCAGAAUCUUUCAGUCAAUGAUGUGCUACAAUCCAAAGGCGCUAACUGCUGACCAGGUUGAUGGGCUGUUCCACAUCCGAUGGUCAGAGGAGGGGAACAACCAGAAAAGAGAGGAGGAAACCGUAGUUGCAUUCUUGAGGGACUAUUUACAAGAUGUUGAAGAAGAAGAUGGAGCAAAGAAGUUGGGGGACAUCCUAGCAUUUUCAACUGGAUCUGAUGCAGUAUCACCAAUCGGCUUUUCUCCUCAGCCAUCUCUUGAGUUUCUUCACCCAAGUGGUGGAGCACAAAAGUUCCCUGUUGCCAACACCUGCAUCAGCUGUCUUCGACUGCCUAUCUAUAGCACGUACAGUCGUUUUAAGAGCAACAUGUACUUUGCAAUAAGAAACACACAGGGCUUUGGCAUGCCAUAGAUGAUGAAUGUACAUUUUAAAGUUUGUUUGUACAGCAUCACAGUUAUGUCGGUAUCAACUGCAAUUUUGUGUAAAUGUUGGAAAUGCAAGUUAUUUUAUUCAUACUAGAAACACGUUUUAUUGUUUUAUUAACGUUAGUGGAUGCAUGUCCUAGUGAGGGUUUACAUUUGUCCUGUUUGUUUUUUGCAUUACUGUUCUUAAGAGUAUCACAUGGCAUGGUCUAGAUUUCAUAGCAGACCUCGACACGUCUAAACACUGCAACCGUGAAUGAACGGGACUAGCCUGUCAGCAGCCCCCAAAGUUUAAUUUUUGUAUUGUCAAGUUUAAUUCAAGGUUGCUUGUUGGAUAAGCCGGGGAGGUAUUUUGCAAAGCUGACUAAGCUUGACUUCUGCAAUGAGAAGCCUAGAAAAUAUAAAUAGCUUCCUGGGUUUUACUUUUGUGAUGCCCCACACGUAUGAGUAGGGUCUACCUAACUUUCGCCCUAUAGGUGAGGCUGGGUGGGGCCUCGUCUUGAUUGCGAAUGGAGAGCACCUGGGCCCGGUGUCUCCAAAGCUAUAUAUGCCAUGCCCCUGCCAGUUGACGGAGGCCAGAGAGAGCCACAGAGAUCCAGAGAAAAGAUCCAGAGGGGGAUCCAGAGGAGGCAGACCUGGCCUUCGCGCCUUGCUGCAGUCUCCAUACAUUCCUGUUAUGUUCUUUUCAUUCACACACGCACCACACCAUGUUUUACACAUCCACACUUACACCACUGAAUUACUGAUUUCCCACCUCAUAGGAUCGUUAUGGUUUGUGGAUAUGGGUUAUAAUUUAAGUUGUCCCUGUUAGGGUUAUACUUUAAUAAACAUUCUUUACUCUCGUA